rnacentral:rRNA from 1 species
CCCUUAGAUGUUCUGGGCCGCACGCGCGCUACACUGAUGAAUGCAACGAGCUCUACCCUUGACCGAAAGGCCCGGGUAAACUUGUGAAACUUCAUCGUGAUGGGGAUAGAUUAUUGCAAUUAUUAAUCUUCAACGAGGAAUUCCUAGUAAGCGCGAGUCAUCAGCUCGCGUUGAUUACGUCCCUGCCCUUUGUACACACCGCCCGUCGCUCCUACCGAUUGAAUGGUCCGGUGAAAUCUUCGGAUUGCUGACCAAGAUCCAGCAAUGGAGCUUGGUUGCGAUAAGUUGAUUAAACCUUAUUAUUUAGAGGAAGGAGGAGUCGUAACA